GCCAAGAUGGUCGAGUGGUCUAAGACGUCAGACUUAAGAUUUCCGGUUACGAAAUUUGUAGGUUAUCUGAUCCUCUAAGGAGGGCGUGGGUUCAAACCCCACUCUUGGCA
rnacentral:tRNA from 1 species